GUUAGCGUAGCUUAAUUAAUCUAAAGCGAAGCACUGAAAAUGCUUAGAUGGGUUGACUAACCCCGCAAACA
rnacentral:tRNA from 1 species